GGGAUAUGAUGAGUGGUCAUUACUCACAAGCGCUGUGAGAUGGGUGUCCGCCCCAACGCCUGGUUACGACAACAUGGGCACUCCCCUCUGUACCGCCUGAUCCC
rnacentral:snoRNA from 2 species